UACGUAGGGUGCGAGCGUUGUCCGGAAUUAUUGGGCGUAAAGGGCUCGUAGGCGGUCUGUCGCGUCGGGAGUGAAAACUCAGGGCUUAACCCUGAGCCUGCUUCCGAUACGGGCAGACUAGAGGUAUGCAGGGGAGAACGGAAUUCCUGGUGUAGCGGUGAAAUGCGUAGAUAUUGGGAGGAACACCAGUGGCGAAGGCGGCUCACUGGACCGGAACUGACGCUGAGGCGCGAAAGCGUGGGGAGCAAACAGG
rnacentral:rRNA from 1 species